CUAUACCUUCCAUGGUCAGUUAUGCUUGUGUAUAUAAAGAAGUUGUUCUAUUCAUUAUCACACAAUAUUUCACAGUAAAAGGGCCACCACAAAGAAAAGAAGAGUGCAGCUCUUUGCUUGGAUAACACAGUGACACCUCCAAGGAAUUAGCUUAGUUCUAGAGCAUGGACAACAGCAGUGACCCCUCGCACAAUUCCUUCUCAGGAAAUGUACGCAAAAACUCUUCCGAGCUGCAAGCACUGCAGAGACAGCACGAGGAGAAGACCAGAAAGAUUGAGGAGCUGAAGAGUCAAAUUGAUUCAGUGAAGCUUGAUUUGGAGAAGAAAAUGAAGGGACCUUCAGGGGAUAAAAAAGAAGUUUUCAAGAGCUUGAGUGACAAAUAUAACAGCCUGAGAGAGGAAUACAAUGCCUUGUUGGCCGAAAAGUCCAGGGAAUAGUCCCCUAGAGAGCUGCUUCAAUGUUGCAUGCUCUUACAAUUUCCGUAUUAUGCAUCUAGCAGCUGGAAACCUAUGCAUUAGAUCGUUAAAUUUGCUUCAUGUUCUGCUUAGUUUUAGUUUCCUAGAAAAAUCUCCCAUUUUUUUUUCACCCUUCUUCAUGCAAUUACAAAUUGGGGGAGAUGUUGUCUAUCCCUACAACAUCAUUUUGUACGUAUGCCAUCUAAAUAUCUGCAUUUUCAGCCAUGAAAAUCAUGUAGUUUGUCACCACAAUGUCAUAGAGUAUGUUAACGCGGGUGUUUUUCAAA